rnacentral:rRNA from 1 species
ACUUAAAUUGAAGAGUUUGAUCAUGGCUCAGAUUGAACGCUGGCGGCAGGCCUAACACAUGCAAGUCGAGCGGUAGCACAGAGAGCUUGCUCUCGGGUGACGAGCGGCGGACGGGUGAGUAAUGUCUGGGAAACUGCCUGAUGGAGGGGGAUAACU